rnacentral:lncRNA from 1 species
UUUUAAACUCCUGAAAUGAUCUCAGAAAAUACCAAUCAUAUAUCUCAGAGACGCACGUUUUUUCAGGGAUGAAUGAGUGUUAGCCAUCCCUCUGUGUCUCUGAGAUAAAUGGUGUAUUUUAUAAUGAUUUAUUUACACACUAAGUUUGAAGGUGUAACAAAAUUAUUACCAAUUAUUGUGAUUUUUUAAAAUAUUUGGGGGUGGAUGACACCCCUUCAUCCUCUCUAGACACGUGUGUCUGAAUGAAUGUUAUUUGUAGAAGAAAUAUAUGAUUACAUGUGUUUUUAUGUACAAAUACAUAUGUUCAUCAAUGAUCAUAGAUAUCAACUUUUCACUAAUGAAGAAUGUUAAUUUUUUGUAGUUGUGUAGCCCAGGAUCAUAGCUACGCAAAACCCAACGAUAGCACUGACGCUAUUGCUAAAAAUGUUUUUUCAAGAUGACUAUGAUAUAAAAUAUACGUAAAAAUAUAAUAUCAGACGGUUUUUGUUUAUUCAUUUCAUAUUUGGAAUGUUUUUUUUAGAAUUGCUAAUGAGGAACCCAGGUCCACUAUAAUGUCAAACGUGUUGGUUCCAUUGUCAUUUUCCCAAGAUGAUGAAGACGUUGUAGUGUAUGUAACUGGAACGUAUAUUACUGACAUGAUUUUUUUUCCUUUAGCGAGUCCAUGAUUGAAGAUGUACCCGAGUUCCCAACCAUGAUGAAUGAUUAUUCAAAUAUUUCCAGCAGCAUUUCAUUGGCAAAUACGAACGAAUUUUCAUUAAAUGAUUCUGUUCAUGAUGAUCAUUUAUUGAAUGAUUUCUCUUUCAUGAGUCAAGAAGAAUAUGAUGAAAUUAAUUCACAUAAAGACAUAAGGUGAUAAAGAUGUUCGUGUCCAACUAAAUGAUGGUUAUGUUUGGGCAACAUUAUCUGUAGGUAGUACUUAUAAAACAAUGACGGAAUUUUUAAGUAAACUGAAUAUACCUCCUCUGUCUUUCAAAAUGUACCACACUUUGGAAGAACAGCUUGCUGAAGAUUGGAAGAAGGUGCUUUGGAAAAGCUUAGAAGAUGCUGGAGCUGAAGAGAGACGUAAUGCUGUGGCUACUAAUAAUGUAGAUCAUAAUGGAAUUCAAUAAUGGAGAUCACAAUAACUGUCAGCCUUCUUAUUGUGAAAACAUUGGGGACCAAAUUGUGGUAAGCCAGGGCCACAAACUGAUUGAAAAUGAGACAAACAAUAGAGCCGAGAUGUUCAUGUCGUUGCUCUGCAAGUUUAACGCUGGCAAGCGGUUAAACACAAUUCAAAAAGGUUCUCUACAAGCAAGAGCUUAUUUGUCUGGUCUUCACUACAAUAAAGGUGCCGAUUGGCAAAGCACAACUUGGGCGGCCAUAACAAAAACAUCACCAGGGUCUGAAUUCCAGAAGUACCUGAACCAAACUAAGAAUCGUCAUGAAUAUGACAUGGUCCGUAAAGUUCAGAUGAAGAUCAAGACGCCAAAAAAGAAAAAAACCAAAAAGGGAUGCAAAGAAGCUUCAGGUUAUGGUCCAGCUGCCAUAAAAGGGUCUCUCACAGAAGAAGAGUUUAUGUCUGAAAGAAGGUAACACCUGCUGAUGCUCUUGAAAUUGAGCAGAAAACAAUUGGCCAAUGGGGAAAUAAAUUGUACGAACAAUACCGCAUGGACAGACUAACAGCUUCAAAUUUUGUAGGUAAGUAUACAAAAGAAGGCCAUCCACUGUUCCAAACAAAUUGGUACGAAGAAUUUUGUAUCCCACCAAUAUAAGGACUCAAGUCAAAGAAGCAGUGGCUCGUGAAAGAUUCGCUCAUGAGACCCAAAUCAAAGUCAAGGAAUGUGAAAUUUUUAUUGACUCAAAUUUUAAUUAUCUUGGAGCUACCCCUGAUGCGGUGACUGACAAUGGUGCUAUACUCGAAAUAAAGUGUCUGCAUAAAGUCCACAAAUCGGGGAAAACACUGGCUGAAGCAAUUAAAUCUGAUAAGACUUUAUAUAUGGAGAUAAUAUUUGAGGAAGGGAAAGAAGUUAUAAGGCUCAAAAAAACGCAUCUGUACUAUUACCAGGUUCAAGGGCAACUUAAUAUUUGUAAGAAGGAUUUGUGCUACUUUCUUGUAUAUAUUAAUGAUGAACAACCGCUUCAUAUCGAGACUAUCAAAAGAGAUGAAAACCUUUGGCACCAUAUGACUCCAAAACUCACCGAUUUCUAUGAAAAACAUAUGAUCCCGGAAUUAGUUAAAAAAUAUUCAUUACACUAAAAUUUUCUUACAUCAUUCAUGGCUUUUAACUACUCUUCAGUUUUUUAUGAGCAACAUCUAAUUGCAGCACCAGAAAAAUCUUUUUGCUUACAGUUUCCUCAUAAAUUUGAGCCGCACCUCUCAAAUUUGAUUUGCCAACAUAGAAUUUUGCACUAGAAAAAUUCAUUCAUCUCUCUCACAUUUCUCCAUCAAUUUGAGCUGCACCUCUCAAAUUUGAUUUGCCAACAUAGAAUUUUGCACUAGAAAAAUUCAUUUAUCUCUCUAACAGGAGUUUUCCUAUAAAUUUGAGCUACACUUCUCAAUUUUUAUUGGCCAACAUAGGAUUCCAACACUAGAAAAAUGCAUUCAUCUUUCUGAAAGGAGAUUUUCCACAUUGUUGAAGAACAGUAGAAGGCUUGAUGAAGGCAACACACAAUUCAAUCUCAAUAUUAGUAUCGAGUGUAUUCAUCACAUGAAGAGGCCCAUGAAACAGAAAGCAUUGCAUCACUUGUGCUUUUAAACAUUUUGAAUGAUCAUGUUUACCCAAUAAUAAUUGU